GUGUACGGCAGUACCACCCUGAACACGCUGGAUCUUGUCUGAUCUCGGAAGCUAAGCAGGUCAGGCCUAGUUAGGACUUGGAUGGGAGACUGCCUGGGAAUAUGGGGUCCUGUAGGCU
ensembl:rRNA 5S_rRNA 5S ribosomal RNA